ACUCGUGUCGGAACCAAUCAUCAAUUUAAAAUAAUAAUUAUUAUUUAUUUUUAUUUAAACUCGAAUUUAAAAAAAGGUAACAAUGAAAAAUAAAGAGCUAAGUAGUGCAGCAUUCAGGAUAAUAAAUUAUAAAAGCUGAAAUCUUAUGAUAAAUAUACAUGCACAUUAUCAACUGCUUAAUAACUCAAUUCGUUUUGAGAAAAACGUGGAAAAGUUAAUGUGAAUGGGCUUAUACGUUGGAUAGAAGAUCGUCUUCGUCAGCGAGGGAAAUUACAACAAAUUUUGCUCCAACGAACUUUCCCGUUAGACCUGAGAGAAGUACAGUAGCGUAUAUAUAGAUAUAUAUGUAUGAAUGCAUGUACGUAUUACUGUGCACAGAUACUGAGCAAAGUAGAUAUAGAGUAGAAGAAGAGGGAUCGGUGCAAGUACGCAGCCAACGAAAGAGAUUGCGAAGGAUGCCGAGUUUCGAGUGCAGAGUGCGAGGGAGUUUAAGAGGAAGAGUAUCUAUAUACAGAUAUUGUAGAAUGCCAGAGUAGAGCAGACUCUUUUUGGCACCUAACUGCUGCACAGAAUGACCUUCGUCGCUACUCAGAACUCUAAAAUCUAAAAACAGCUUGCAGUAAAAAU